GGUGCUGGUUCCAAUUCAGGU
rnacentral:miRNA from 1 species